rnacentral:rRNA from 1 species
GAUGAACGCUAGCUACAGGCUUAACACAUGCAAGUCGAGGGGAAACGAUGAGAGAGCUUGCUCUCUUAGGCGUCGACCGGCACACGGGUGAGUAACGCGUAUCCAACCUACCCAUUACAGGGGGAUAACUUUGCGCAAGUAAGACUAAUACCCCAUGGCACUUUAUGGUGGCAUCAUUAUAGGAUUAAAGAUUUAUUGGUAAUGGCUGGGGAUGCGUCUGAUUAGCUUGUUGGCGGGGUAACGGCCCACCAAGGCAACGAUCAGUAGGGGUUCUGAGAGGAAGGUCCCCCACAAUGGAACUGAGACACGGUCCAAACUCCGACGGGAGGCAGGAGUGAAGAAUAUUGAGCGAUGGGCGAGAGCUUGAACCAGCCAAGUAGCGUGCAGGAUGACGGGCCUAGUGGUUGUAAACUGCUUUGAUAGGGGAAUAAAGUGAGCUACGUGUAGUUUAUUGCAUGUACCCGAUGAAUAAGGACCGGCUAAUUCCGUG